ACAACAUGAGUGUUAUUCCAGUUAAAUUUAAGCAACUCUUCCAGGUGUUGAUUCUGAAAUCAUCACCAGAGUUCCUCCCGCAGUUCUAACGUAUCUGUGACGUCACGUGUCAGCCCGAGGAGCGGGGAAAAGCAACAUGGCGUCUUGUCUGGAGCUUACCGUCACAAGGUGGUGACAAAAGGCUAAACCAGGCUGGGAAAAACAGGCGUUCUUCUGUUGGUUCAUGUGAUUCUUCCUACGUCCAACGGCGAGAAGAAGAAUCCAAAGCAGCUCAUGUCAAACUCAUUUUGUCAAAGAUGGGAGCCAGUGUUGAAGCCUUCCUUAUUGGUGUGGAACCAGGACGAAGACACUUCCCCAUCAGUGAUCACAAGACCAUACCUGACCAUUCAUGGCUGCUUUCAGUGCACACUUGCUGUUUGUGACGGAAGGCCGACUUUGUAACCGUCUCUAUGUGGCUGUGAAUGUUAAGGUUUGAGUCUGCCCAGGUUUGGAUCUCUGGUUUCCAGCUGUGCUGACUCCCUUCAGUCUUACCCCGCCUGUGGCGACAGGAAGUGGACUCGCCGUGUAGAGACUCCUCUUCCCAUCGUAAACCGGCAGCCGGUCGCCGAAGAUCGUCACCUUGAAGUGCUGCACCAUGGAGUCCACCACCUCCCUGGAGAAAACACAGAACACCCCGGUUCAGAUGCUUCCCGGCAGAACAGACGCCCAGGUUCUGGACGGAUCCGCUCCGGACUCUUCCGGUACCUGUUGACCCGCCGGGGGCAUUUCUCUGGCUUGACGUCGACCUCGUACAGGUAGACGUCGAUCUUAGGGAUUUCCACCUGGAAGCAGUUGGCCAGGAGCUUGAUGGGCUUUCCGAUGGAGCCAUAUCCGGGUCGCCGUGGCAACGUAAACAAGGUGUGGGCUCCUAAGAUCAGGAGAGACGGGAAAAUGUAGCUGAGGAGGAUAAUCCCUCUGAGAUCCAGAACCAGCCUGUCCAGAACAGAACCGGGUCGGUACAAACGGGCUGCGAUCAUUAAUGCAGCGAGGCGACAGGAAGUGGUUAACGAGGAGGAGAGAGCAGAAGACGCUCCAGGAUGUUACAAGUUUCCUGGUGUUGGAAAACACAACGCCGGAGCUGCAGAGAAAAACCAGAGCGGGUACCGGGCCGGGCCGUACCGGGCCGGGCCAGAGGAGGGUGAGUGGGUGAGCGGCAUGGCGAACUGGAAACCAGAGUGACAUCACCGUUUCCAGACUCAGAGAAGCUGAUGAAACGGUCAGGAAGGAUGAAGACGCUCUUCUUCCCGCUGAGCUGUCGCCAUGGUGACGGCAUCGAUGUUGCCACAUUUUCACCAUGGCAACAGUGGGCAGGCAGGAGGAGGUAAACGGGUGCGUUCGAGUCGGUAAUCAUCACCUCCUGAAAUUAAAUCAGGAAUCGGAAAUCCUUCUGAGGAAUAACGGGAAAGACGGAUCGCCUCCGACGCUCCGGGGGGAAAACGGUCGGACUGGUGACCUCCACCAGGGUCCGGCGCUGAUUUUACUGGGAAUACUGGGAAUACUGACACCCAUCAAACAUCCAAAAAUAUCCAACAUGCUUUCUACCAACAUCUAACAUUUUCUGUCCUCCGACCAAAAAUUAAACCUUCAAACUGGAAAUGUGUUUAAUUUAUUAUAAAAAUCUAAGACGGUCAGAAAACAAAUGUUUCUUAUCGUCUCUUUAAAAUGUUGCAUAAAUAAAAUGGAGCGGGAAAGGAACCGGACCGGGACAAGAUGGUCCAAACAUCUAGGAUUCAGACAGAAACGGCACCAAAAACAGAAACAUCCAGACGACGUGGAAAUGCAGAACCAAAACCCGCUCACUUCCUGAACUUGUAGGUUUGUAAGAAUCCAGAGAGAAAAAUCGGCUCAGAAUUCACUAAAUCUGAGUCCCACCAACGUUUUAUGGUUAAAUAUACAAUUUAUCCAGAAAGUGGAGAUAAAACGGUUAUUAGAGUUCUGAAAUGUUGGCAGGUUGUAAAGUCGCUGACUGUUACAGGAAAAGCCGACCCGGUUCGGGAGCAAACGGACCCGUCUGAGUCACUACCAGCUCAGCAGCUUCAACUGAAUAUCCAGAACCUCCUGACUGGAUCCCACCAGCUUCGGAACCUCCUGACUGGAUCCCACCAGCUUCGGAACCUCCUGACUGGAUCCCACCACCUUCGGAACCUCUUGACUGGAUCCCACCACCUUCGGAACCUCUUGACUGGAUCCCACCACCUUCGGAACCUCUUGACUGGAUCCCACCACCUUCGGAACCUCCUGACUGGAUCCCACCACCUUCGGAACCUCCUGACUGGAUCUCUGCAGCCUCCCAGAUUCAGACACACCUGACCGGAUCUCUCUUUGACAGC